rnacentral:misc_RNA from 1 species
GUAGGUGAACCUGCGGAAGGAUCAUUAACACGUUUUACCAAAAACGUUAAACUACCAUAUCAAAAACCAAUCGCGAACUAACGUAGGUGCAUUAAUAGUGUUCAGAUUAAGUUGUAUCUUGGCCAAAAGACUCAGAGUCGCAAGACUUUGUCUGGUUUGAGCUAUACCAAACGCAGAGGUGGGUGCUGCGGGCUCAAAUUGGAUUCCAAUCCUGGAGGUUUUUUGUUCUGAACAUUAGCACCGAUCAACCCCUUUUUUUACCCCACACUUUCUUUUACAAACCCGAUCAUUACUAAGCUGCUUCGGCGGCGAAGUGUGAUAGUAACUAACUAUUUUUUCUUCUGGGAAAUGCUUUCUUCGGGAGGCACUCUCAGGUUUUGCUGGGCGGAUGGCGUAAUGCUAUCUUAGCUAUUGGCAAAAUAAAACAAACAAAGAACAACUCUUAGCAACGGAUAUCUUGGUUCCC